GGCUCGGUAGUGUAGUGGUUAUCACGUCAGUCUCACAUUAGCAUCCUUGCUAUCUGAUCACUGAAGGUCCCGGGUUCAAAACCCGGCUGAGUCA